UUGAGAGAGAAACUAUCUCUGGAGCUAAAGAGGAAAGGAGAGAGAAGUGUGGCAGAAUCUGUCAGAAAAUCAAUUCCCAAGGCAUUAGCCUAUGAAGAUCCUUUGGCUGUGGUGAGGAUUUAUUCUUCAAUCAUCUGCUAGUCAUGGAUUAAGGAACUGUCUUCAACUUGGAGGAGUUAUCAUCUGUGGACAUUUCACCUUGGAUUCCUGUUUUGGCUCCCAGAGACUCUAUUGGAGCCACAGCAAACACACACAUCCAGACUUGGGACUUCCCGGGAGAGCUCCCCACGAUGCCUGAGAAGCUCAAGGGCAGCCAGCCGGCAGAGAAAACUUGUAAAAUGAACAGCUGGCCACAUGUUAUUGAUUGUGUCACUUUCUUGAGAGAAAACCACUACAGCUUCAAAUUGUAUGUGGAAGGGUCUUUUGAAAAGUACCUGGAAAGGUUGGGACAUUCACAGGAAAGUGCUGGACAGCUGGAAUUAAGAACAUUUAUAAGGGCCAUCUUGAUUGCCAUAUAUACCAUCAUCCACCAUGCAGAAGGCUAGAAGGAGACCCUGGGACCCAAACUUCUGCCCAAGGUCUUACUUGAUCUUCUUGGAAAUUGCUCUGAAAAUGAGAUUAAGUUCAAUUCAACAAGUAUCAGAUGCCUACUAUGUACAAGAAACUGAGUGCUGAGCAAAGGCAGAUAACAAUAAAACGCUCCCUGCUCUAAAGAUUUGAUGUACAUUGGAUGAUGCAUGGUCCCAAAGCUUCUAAAGUUCAAGCUAUAUUUGCAGCUGAAUGGGACAGUAAAUGUCAAGAUCAAUCCUUUCAUUUAUACAUGAGGAAGGCUCAGAAAAAUUAAAUGACUUCCUCCUCAAACCAGUAAGUAGCAAAGCAAAUAUUUGAAUAUAGCAACUGAAAUGACUGAAAAGCAACAACUCUCACUCAAACCAGGGGAACUUUCAACUCUACUUGUCUUCUACACAUUGACUUUUGUAAGGAACAUUCUUUACAAUCUUUAUACACUCUGCCAAUAAUUUUUGUAUUUGUAUAUUGUCAAUAAACAAAGCACUGAGUAUUUA